AACACCAGGGAGGAGACAAGAACAAAGCAUGGCAGAACAGUGGGAUCCCAGGGAYRGCAGAGAGACUGGCAGCUGGCAGUACCAAGGAAGCUUCCUAAGAGUGGACAGACCCGGAGGAGUCUGGAGGGGCCAGCAGGUGUCAGCAGAAUUGAUGAACUAAUGAACCAGCAAAUGAGCCUUAAAGAAUAUCCUGGCCUGUGAACUGACAAGGAAACUGAUGCCGGGGACUGGGGAUUCAGCUCAGUAGCAGAAGCUUGCCUAGCUUGAGAGAGGCCCUGAGUUCCAUCUCCAAUGCCACAAAAAAAGAAAGAAAAAGAAAAACUGAAGUCCAAAGGGGUCRAAGGAUCCCAUCACACACAUAGGAGAUGAGAUAUGAUGAGGUGGACUCCCCUGCUGUUGACCUGGCUCUCAAAAACAAAGUGAUUUCCUCCCAUGGAAAAGAAAUAAAUGAAUUGGGGGACUGCUUUUGUUCUUCAUCUGCUUUUAAUUAGACUGUGACCUGGACAAGUAUCCCAUCUGGACCUGUUUCUCAUCCAUACAUGCUGGCCUCCACCCACAACUGAUCUCAUUACAUAUCUAUCAUUGUCUUCCAUUCAAACUCAUCUAACUGCUGACUA